CCUACGGGCGGCUGCAGUGGGGAAUAUUGCACAAUGGGGGAAACCCUGAUGCAGCGACGCCGCGUGCAUGAAGAAGUAUUUCGGAAUGUAAACCUCUUUUAGCAGAGAAGAUAAUGACGGUACCUGACUAAGAAGCACCGGCUAACUCCGUGCCAGCAGCCGCGGUAAUACGGAGGGGGCAAGCGUUAUCCGGAUUUACUGGGUGUAAAGGGAGCGUAGGCGGAAUAGCAAGUCAGAGGUGAAAUCCCAUGGCUUAACCAUGGAACUGCCUUGGAAACUGUUCAGCUAGAGUGUAGGAGAGGUAGGUGGAAUGCUUGGUGUAGCGGUGAAAUGCGUAGAGAUCAGGAGGAACACCAAUUGCGAAGGCGGCUUACUAGACUAUAACUGACGUUGAGGCGCGAAAGCGUGGGGAGCAAACAGGAUUAGAUACCCCGGUAGUC
rnacentral:rRNA from 1 species